rnacentral:rRNA from 1 species
AGUGAACGCUGGCGGUAGGCCUAACACAUGCAAGUCGAACGGCAGCACAGUAAGAGCUUGCUCUUACGGGUGGCGAGUGGCGGACGGGUGAGGUAUACAUCGGAAUCUACUUUUUCGUGGGGGAUAACGUAGGGAAACUUACGCUAAUACCGCAUACGACCUACGGGUGAAAGCAGGGGAUCUUCGGACCUUGCGCGAUUGAAUGAGCCGAUGUCGGAUUAGCUAGUUGGCGGGGUAAAGGCCCACCAAGGCGACGAUCCGUAGCUGGUCUGAGAGGAUGGUCAGCGACACUGGAAGGGGGACACGGACCAGAGUACUAAGAGAGGCAGCAGUGGGGAAUAUUGGACAAUGGGCGCAAGUCUUAUCCAGCGAUACCGCGUGUGUGAAGAAGGCCUUCGGGUUGUAAAGCCCUUUUGUUGGGAAAGAAAAGCAGCAGGUUAAUACGCCGCUGUUCUGACGGUACCCAAAGAAUAAGCACCGGCUAACUUCGUG